AUGGAACCCUAUGUUGGCAUGAGGUUUGACAGCCUUCAAAUUGCUAAGGAUCACUACAACAGCUACGCACUACGGAUGGGUUUCUCUAUCAAGAUGAACACCUCUAGACGGACACCCCGCACCAAUGAAUUGAUAAAACAACAGUUUUGCUGCAACAAGUUCAAGAAGCCCAAAGCUGAUGAUGGAGGAGCCGAGGCUCCUCCUGUCCUGGACCCUAUUCCAGAUCCAAAAUCUGUUGACAGUGAUGAGGAGAUGGAAGAAGAACCUCCAAUAUUUGCUGAAGAGGAGGCUGGUACUAGUAAGAAGAAGAAGAAGCGCAAACGCGAGACAAUAAAGCAGACUCAAUGCAAGGCGAAAAUGUUGGUGAAGCUGAUAGAUGGGCGAUGGGAGGUGACGCACUUUGUUCGUGACCACAAUCAUCCGCUCGUGAACAAACCUUCAUUGUCCAAAUACUUGAGAUCCCACCAAGGCAUCUCACCUGAUGAAAAGGAGUUUCUGCGCAUCUUGUAUAACUGCAACUUGACUACAGGCGAUUACAAUCCAAGUACCAUGACGGGCCGUGCUACUACAAGUGAUUGUGAUGGUCCUACUGCCCCGUUGGAGGCUGCAUCCCCUGCACAAGCUUCUGAUGAUUUUGUGCCCAAGGAUCCUCCAAGGUCUACUACAAAAGGUAGGGCAAAGAGUCGACGGUACAAAUCGGCGCUGGAGCUACACCCAAAGAAGAAAAACAAAUGCAGCCAGUGCCAAUCUACAGAGCACACUGCUGGUGUGUGUCCACUCAGGCUACUGUGA
rnacentral:rRNA from 1 species